rnacentral:rRNA from 1 species
UACGUAGGGGGCAAGCGUUGUCCGGAAUCAUUGGGCGUAAAGAGCGUGUAGGCGGCUUGUUAAGUCUGCGUGAAAUCUCGGGGCUCAACCCCGAGCGGUCGUGAGAAACUGGCAGGCUAGAGUGCGGGAGAGGAGAGUGGAAUUCCGGGUGUGAGCGGUGAAUGCGUAGAGAUCCGGAAGAACACCGGAGGCGAAGGCGGCUGCUGGGCAUUGCUGACGCGAGGCGC